CCCUUAGAGUUUGAUCCUGGCUCAGGACGAACGCUGGCGGCGCGCCUAACACAUGCAAGUCGAACGAGAGAUGAGGAGCUUGCUCUUCAGAUCGAGUGGCGAACGGGUGAGUAACGCGUGAGGAACCUGCCUCAAAGAGGGGGACAACAGUUGGAAACGACUGCUAAUACCGCAUAAGCCCACGGCUCGGCAUCGAGCAGAGGGAAAAGGAGUGAUCCGCUUUGAGAUGGCCUCGCGUCCGAUUAGCUAGUUGGUGAGGUAACGGCCCACCAAGGCGACGAUCGGUAGCCGGACUGAGAGGUUGAACGGCCACAUUGGGACUGAGACACGGCCCAGACUCCUACGGGAGGCAGCAGUGGGGAAUAUUGCACAAUGGGGGAAACCCUGAUGCAGCGACGCCGCGUGGAGGAAGAAGGUCUUCGGAUUGUAAACUCCUGUUGUUGAGGAAGAUAAUGACGGUACUCAACAAGGAAGGACGGCAACUCUG
rnacentral:rRNA from 1 species